rnacentral:rRNA from 1 species
UAGAGUUUGAUUAUGGCUCAGAUUGAACGCUGGCGGCAGGCCUAACACAUGCAAGUCGAGCGGUAGAGAGAAGCUUGCUUCUCUUGAGAGCGGCGGACGGGUGAGUAAUGCCUAGGAAUCUGCCUGGUAGUGGGGGAUAACGUUCGGAAACGGACGCUAAUACCGCAUACGUCCUACGGGAGAAAGCAGGGGACCUUCGGGCCUUGCGCUAUCAGAUGAGCCUAGGUCGGAUUAGCUAGUUGGUGGGGUAAUGGCUCACCAAGGCGACGAUCCGUAACUGGUCUGAGAGGAUGAUCAGUCACACUGGAACUGAGACACGGUCCAGACUCCUACGGGAGGCAGCAGUGGGGAAUAUUGGACAAUGGGCGAAAGCCUGAUCCAGCCAUGCCGCGUGUGUGAAGAAGGUCUUCGGAUUGUAAAGCACUUUAAGUUGGGAGGAAGGGCAGUAAAUUAAUACUUUGCUGUUUUGACGUUACCGACAGAAUAAGCACCGGCUAACUCUGUGCCAGCAGCCGCGGUAAU